CCUACGGGUGGCUGCAGUCGAGAAUUUUUCACAAUGGGGGAAACCCUGAUGGAGCGACGCCGCGUGGAGGAUGAAGGCCUUUUGGUCGUAAACUCCUGUCAUGCGAGAACUAGUAUCGCAAGAGGAAGAGGCGGCUAACUCUGUGCCAGCAGCCGCGGUAAUACAGAGGCCUCAAGCGUUGUUCGGAUUCAUUGGGCGUAAAGGGUGCGUAGGUGGCUUGCUAAGUUGAAGGUGAAAUCUCGGGGCUCAACUCCGAAACUGCCUUCAAUACUGGUGAGCUCGAGGAUUGUAGAGGAGAAUGGAAUUCACGGUGUAGCAGUGAAAUGCGUAGAUAUCGUGAGGAAGACCAGUGGCGAAGGCGAUUCUCUGGGCAUCCUGACACUGAGGCACGAAGGCCAGGGGAGCAAACGGGAUUAGAUACCCGUGUAGUC
rnacentral:rRNA from 1 species